rnacentral:lncRNA from 1 species
AGAGCUAGAAGUACCCCGUCGACAUCGCUUAGGCGUUAAGAAAAUAAAAAGAACAUAAUGUAUCAAAUUUGUAAUAAGUAAAUGUUGUAAUAACUUAGAUUGCAUUUGGAUGAAAAGAAUGGUGGUUGAGAUGUAAAAUGCAUGAAUGUGAAUGAAUGUAAUAACAUAGGAUAUGUUUAUGUUGUUUGAUACCUUCCUUAUGCAAUCUUGAUUGAAAUGUGUUCCUGUUUGAAACUUCGUACAUUGUAUUGAUUGCGAUGCCUUGAACGUAC